GACGAACCGAGCGACCGUUAUUCGGAAUCACUGGGCUUAAAGGGCGCGUAGGCGGGCGGCCGAGUCCGGGGUGAAAGCCCCCAGCUCAACUGGGGAAGUGCCUCGGAUACUGGUCGCCUCGAGAGAGAUAGGGGCGUGCGGAACUUCCGGUGGAGCGGUGAAAUGCGUAGAUAUCGGAAGGAACACCAGUGGCGAAGGCGACUACCUGGCCUGUUCUUGACGCUGAGGCGCGAAAGCUAGGGGAGCAAACGGG
rnacentral:rRNA from 1 species